rnacentral:sRNA from 1 species
GCUGGGCACGGUGGCACACGCCUGUAAUCCCAGUGGCUUGGGAGGCUGAGACAGGAGAAUCACAAGUUCAAAGCCAGCCUCAGCAACUGUGAGGAGGUAGUAAGCAACUCAGUGAGACCCUGUCUCUA